GACUCUCGGCAACGGAUAUCUAGGCCCUUGCAUCGAUGAAGAACGUAGCGAAAUGCGAUACUUGGUGUGAAUUGCAGAAUCCCGUGAACCAUCGAGUCUUUGAACGCAAGUUGCGCCCGAGGUCUCUGGGCCGAGGGCAUGCCUGCCUGGG
rnacentral:rRNA from 1 species